rfam:Corchorus olitorius cultivar O-4 contig17880, whole genome shotgun sequence.
AGAUCUGUAAGCUCAAAAUGGUAGAGCGCUCAAAUCCCGCCGAAGGGGUUCGAGAGGGUGGUGGUUCGAAUCCACCCAGAUCUC